rnacentral:rRNA from 1 species
UUGCCGAUGAAGGGCGUGCUAAUCUGCGAUAAGCGCCGGUAAGGUGAUAUGAACCGUUAUAACCGGCGAUACCCGAAUGGGGAAACCCAGUGUGAUUCGUCACACUAUCAUUAACUGAAUCCAUAGGUUAAUGAGGCGAACCGGGGGAACUGAAACAUCUAAGUACCCCGAGGAAAAGAAAUCAACCGAGAUUCCCCCAGUAGCGGCGAGCGAACGGGGAGGAGCCCAGAGCCUGAAUCAGCAUGUGUGUUAGUGGAAGCGUCUGGAAAGGCGCGCGAUACAGGGUGACAGCCCCGUACACAAAAGCGCAUGUGCUGUGAGCUCGAUGAGUAGGGCGGGACACGUGGUAUCCUGUCUGAAUAUGGGGGGACCAUCCUCCAAGGCUAAAUACUCCUGACUGACCGAUAGUAGCCGUACAG